CGAACGGUAACAGAAAGAAGCUUGCUUCUUUGCUGACGAGUGGCGGACGGGUGAGUAAUGUCUGGGAAACUGCCUGAUGGAGGGGGAUAACUACUGGAAACGGUAGCUAAUACCGCAUAACGUCGCAAGACCAAAGAGGGGGACCUUCGGGCCUCUUGCCAUCGGAUGUGCCCAGAUGGGAUUAGCUUGUUGGUGGGGUAACGGCUCACCAAGGCGACGAUCCCUAGCUGGUCUGAGAGGAUGACCAGCCACACUGGAACUGAGACACGGUCCAGACUCCUACGGGAGGCAGCAGUGGGGAAUAUUGCACAAUGGGCGCAAGCCUGAUGCAGCCAUGCCGCGUGUAUGAAGAAGGCCUUCGGGUUGUAAAGUACUUUCAGCGGGGAGGAAGGGAGUAAAGUUAAUACCUUUGCUCAUUGACGUUACCCGCAGAAGAAGCACCGGCUAACUCCGUGCCAGCAGCCGCGGUAAUACGGAGGGUGCAAGCGUUAAUCGGAAUUACUGGGCGUAAAGCGCACGCAGGCGGUUUGUUAAGUCAGAUGUGAAAUCCCCGGGCUCAACCUGGGAACUGCAUCUGAUACUGGCAAGCUUGAGUCUCGUAGAGGGGGGUAGAAUU
rnacentral:rRNA from 1 species